rnacentral:lncRNA from 1 species
AGAUGGCUGACAUAUCUCCUUUUGCAGACUUAGAUGCUUCAGAGACCCCAAUGCCUCCAGAAGAAACUUUGAAGGUCUCCUAAAGCUAGGAACUUACUUUGUAUAAACUGUUGAAUAAAGAUAAACCACAGGGGACCAUACCCAGUCAAAGGCAGGCGGUGUUUCUGUCACAGCAUGUCUGUGAUAUUUCUGUGAUGAAACAAACUCGACAAGGAAACACAAAGCAGUCUGCUGGAACCAUGUUGGAGAGACAACUGAACAAACAGCUGGUUAAAGGAUUAAAG